rnacentral:rRNA from 1 species
GUGAGGAAUAUUGGUCAAUGGACGAGAGUCUGAACCAGCCAAGUAGAGUGAAGGAUGACUGCCCUAUGGGUUGUAAACUUCUUUUAUAAGGGAAUAAAGUGAGGGACGUGUCCCUUUUUGUAUGUACCUUAUGAAUAAGGAUCGGCUAACUCCGUGCCAGCAUCCGCGGUAAUACGGAGGAUCAAAGAGUUAUCCGGCUUUAUUGGGUUUAAAGGGAGCGUAGGUUGACAUAUAAGUCAGCUGUGAAAGUUCACGGCUCAACCGUGAAAUUGCAGUUGAUAAUGUAUGUCUUGAGUGUACAGGAGGUGAGCGGAAUGCGUGGUGUAGCGGUGAAAUGCUUAGAUAACACGAAGAACUCCAAUUGCGAAGGCAGCUCACUGGGGUACAACUGACACUGAGGCUCGAAAGUGUGGGUAUCAAACAGGAUUAGAUACCCGUGUAGUCC